GGAUGUAGCUCAGUGGUAAAGUGUUUGCCUGAUAUGCAGGAGGCCCUGGGUUCGAAUCCCAGAACCACCA